rnacentral:lncRNA from 1 species
CCCUACAUGGCCUAUUGGCCGACUGGCCUUGUCAGUGUGAAGUGUUUCCCUUUAUUACUCUAUUUCAAAGCUAGUGAGAUUUCAUUGUGAACCAUAUUUUGGUGCCACAAUCAUAAAGAUUCAGGAUAUAGCCACCUCAAUUUUUCUGUUUCCUCUUUCAGCCCACAAAUCAGGUUGUACUUUACUGGCCAAUACUUGCAUCUGGAUAGAUGUAGGAUUGUUCUGAUCAUCUCUAUUUGAGGGUUUUGGCUGAAAAACAUCAGGUGCUUGCGGUGAAAUGUUGAUGCGAGGAAAAUGCAAAACUCACCUUUAUCUGGGCACCUCUGAUAGUUCCCGUACUUUAACAGUAUCUGCAAGAAGCUUUCUAAAACAUCUUGAUGACAGUCUAUAGUAUUUGGUGAUAGCAGCAUAUAGGACUGCGAAGCAGCAGUCCUGAUCAUUGUCAGUUUAAAAGAGGACUUAACAAGACGGACGAGAAAACCGACAUCAUUUCAUAUAUAUCGUACCUUAUGUGCAUUUAACCGCCUGUCUGUCUGUUUCCACUGGCUGUGAACAAAUGCCGAAAUUCAAUAAAUGUUGUGUGGGUCACUACUCUCAUUAAUUUCACGGAA